GGGUUUGCUCAGUGGUUAGAGCUUAGGUCUUGUGACCGGGAGGUCCCAGGUUCGAUUCUCGCCAGAGGCG
rnacentral:tRNA from 1 species